CCCAAUGAGCCUACAGUCUAAG
rnacentral:miRNA from 1 species